GGAAAGGUGCCCGAGAACCAAGGACUACUUUGAUAAAGUAAAAACAGAGACACAAUCUCUCUUUUCCCUCUUUCCAA
rnacentral:tRNA from 1 species